UACGUAGGGUGCGAGCGUUGCCCGGAUUUAUUGGGCGUAAAGGGCGCGUAGGCGGUGAGAUGCGUCUAUUGUGAAAUCGCUCGGCUCAACUGGGCGGGGUCAGCGGAUACGGUCUCACUUGAGCAAGCUAGGGGGCAAUGGAAUUCCCGGUGUAGUGGUGGAAUGCGUAGAUAUCGGGAGGAACACCAGUGGCGAAGGCAGCUCGCUGGAACGGUACUGACGCUGAGGCGCGAAAGCGUGGGGAGCGAACAGG
rnacentral:rRNA from 1 species